CAAAUAAACUAGAGACUCUAAAGAGCCUGUGUCGCUCACCUUGGUCUAUGUGAAUAUGAAACAAAGGACACAGAUGGAUUCAUGACAAAAUUGUGUUUUGGUGAUGGUGAUGUGUUUGUACAUCUUACUUUACUGAACAUUCUUGCUGCUUACAAUUAUUUCUAUCUAUAAUGAACUUGGCCCAGUAGUUUCAGUGGAAAAUUUUAUGAAAAUUGUUAAAAAUUUACUAUAAAGGACAAUAACUCCUUAGGGGGUCAAUUGACCAUUUUGGUCAUAUUGACUUAUUUUUAGGUCUUACUUUCCUGUACAUUAUUGCUGUUUACAGUUUAUCUCUAUCUAUAAUAAUAUUCCAGAUAAUAACAAAAA
rnacentral:lncRNA from 1 species